rnacentral:rRNA from 1 species
CACCAGACUCCUACGGGAGGCAGCAGUGAGGAAUAUUGGUCAAUGGGCGCGAGCCUGAACCAGCCAAGUCGCGUGAGGGAAGACGGCCCUACGGGUUGUAAACCUCUUUUGUCGGGGAGCAAAGCGAGUCACGUGUGACUCAUUGAGAGUACCCGAAGAAAAAGCAUCGGCUAACUCCGUGCCAGCAGCCGCGGUAAUACGGAGGAUGCGAGCGUUAUUCGGAUUUAUUGGGUUUAAAGGGUGCGUAGGCGGACUGGAAAGUCAGCGGUAAAAUCGAGAGGCUCACCCUCUUUCCGCCGUUGAAACUGUCGGUCUUGAGUGGGCGAGAAGUAUGCGGAAUGCGUGGUGUAGCGGUGAAAUGCAUAGAUAUCACGCAGAACUCCGAUUGCGAAGGCAGCAUACCGGCGCCCGACUGACGCUGAGGCACGAAAGCGUGGGUAUCGAACAGGAUUAGAUACCCGUGUA